UCCCAUGUCGCCGCCGCUCCCUGUCUCCCUAGCGCACAUCGCCGCUGCAACCUCUCAAUUGCCGUCCUCUCCAACAAAACUACCGCAUCGAGGUCGACUUCAAAAUGCAUUUUUUCCUCCACUGGCGACCAGAUUUACAGCGGCGGUGCUCGAUCUGAGAGAGCCAAGGUGAGGGCGGAGCUCCAAUCGUGGUGUUGGCAGUGGUGCGGAGCUCCAAUCGUAGCCAGAGAAGGCCACCUUCCAGAUCUUGGCGAAUGCACGGAGGAUGAGGUGGUUGUGGUGGUGCGGUGCCUUGAGGGAUUCGAACCGGUGGAGGAGCUUCCGCAGCCCGUCGCCGUCCACGAUCUUCGGUGGCGUCCUGGAGAGAGCGGACGGUGCGCUCUAUUUCGCCGAGCUGGAGCACGAGUGCGGCCACGCUGGGCGUGCUCCUCACGACGGAGGGCGACCCGCGACGCGACCUGGAACCAGGUCAUCUUUUGGCUCACCGGCGGCAGCGCAGGGCGUGUUCUUACCAAGGGAGGAGCAUGCCUGAAGAAGACGAACAAAUCAAAGACAUCCAGUGCCUAAUCGAGGGAAUUUUAUCAGUUCGAUCCUUGCAUUUAGUACGACACAAGCUGAUGAUUCUGAAGAUCUCUGUUGUUGUAUCUUCUCAGUAAGCCAAAAUUUGCACAAAUCACAUAUAAAGGUAAAAAGUGGGAACAGAAAAGUAAAUCAAAAGGUUUACAUAGGAAUUCGCCUCCGAUGCAUGAAUUCUUCCUUAAAGCAGUGAAAGAAGCAAUGCGGUCCUGCAUUUGAAAUAUUGUUGAGGAAUUUGGUUCUGCUACUCGAAAUGAAUAAAAGUUCCAAGUUUUGUUCGAUGGUGAUUCUUAGGAAAGCUUAUCAGCGAAGUGUUUAACACAAUGAUUCUGCAAUGGCAUUUGAGUCUUGA